UAGAAUAUUUUAAAACCUUUCGAUACGAAAUUAUAGACCAAAUACUGAUCUCUAGCGGGAAAAAAUCCGGGGUACAUUCAUCAUCAUAAUCUGCUGGUUUAGACAUAGCGUGGUUAAGUGUUUCUACAUGAUACGGUUCGAAAAAAGUAGACAAUUUUUUUGGCAAAAGAUUUCCUGAGGAACUUCUCGAAUUAAGGCCUUCAGCAAAUGACCAAGAGGUGUUUGACCGAAUAAUCUAACAAGGGAAGGUCGACAGACAAAAUAUUAGAGGCGAAAUGAGGAAUGCAUAAAUAGAAACGACUAGGGUUCAAAUUUUGUUUAAGGAAUGAUUUCCAUGAAGUAAAUUAUAACCAUUCUAUUACUCUUUUAACAAAUCGCGACCAUAAAAGUGAAUUCACACAAUUUUUAUGGAUAUACUGCUUUUUAUAUUUCUGGUAAACCUCAUGAAAGAAUUUCCGGAAAAAAUCCUGAGUUAACUCAGGUUGUGAUAAGGAUGAUUUUGAACAGAAUGUUUUUUUUUCCAAAAAUCCAUUAAAAUUCUUAAGUUCUAUGAAUAAAUUUUGAUGAAGCUACUGUUUAUACAUAAAUUAUUCGUUUGAAGAGCCUUUUGAGAAAACACUGUUAAAGAUUUUUUUCAAGGAUUACUCUAGGAAUCCCUUCAGAGAUUCAGCCGCUUAGGAAUUUUUCAAAAUCCUUUCAUAAAUGUC